rnacentral:rRNA from 1 species
CUGGCUCAGGAUAGAACGACUAGCGACAGGCCUAACACAUGCAAGUCGAGGGGCAGCACAAGGAGCAAUCUGAGGUGGCGACCGGCGCACGGGUGAGUAACACGUAUGCAACCUGCCUGUAAGCGGGGAAUAACCCGUUGAAAGACGGACUAAUACCGCGUAAUACUAAAUUACUGCAUGGUAAUUUAUUUAAACAUUUAUGGCUUACAGAUGGGCAUGCGCAUGAUUAGCUAGUUGGAGAGGUAACGGCUCCCCAAGGCAACGAUCAUUAGGGGUUCUGAGAGGAAGGUCCCCCACACUGGUACUGAGACACGGACCAGACUCCUACGGGAGGCAGCAGUGAGGAAUAUUGGUCAAUGGACGAGAGUCUGAACCAGCCAAGUCGCGUGCAGGAAGAAAAUGUCCUAUGGAUUGUAAACUGCUUUUGCAGGGGAAUAAAGUGCAUCACGUGUGAUGUUUUGUAUGUACUCUGCGAAUAAGGAUCGGCUAACUCCGUGCCAGCCGCCGC